rnacentral:rRNA from 1 species
GACGAACGCUGGCGGCGUGCCUAAUACAUGCAAGUAGAACGCUGAAGGAGGAGCUUGCUUCUCUGGAUGAGUUGCGAACGGGUUAGUAACGCGUAGGUAACCUGCCUGGUAGCGGGGGAUAACUAUUGGAAACGAUAGCUAAUACCGCAUAAUAGCAGUUGUUGCAUGAUAACUGUUUGAAAGGUGCAAUUGCACCACUACCAGAUGGACCUGCGUUGUAUUAGCUAGUUGGUGGGGUAACGGCUCACCAAGGCGACGAUACAUAGCCGACCUGAGAGGGUGAUCGGCCACACUGGGACUGAGACACGGCCCAGACUCCUACGGGAGGCAGCAGUAGGGAAUCUUCGGCAAUGGACGGAAGUCUGACCGAGCAACGCCGCGUGAGUGAAGAAGGUUUUCGGAUCGUAAAGCUCUGUUGUAAGAGAAGAACGAGUGUGAGAGUGGAAAGUUCACACUGUGACGGUAUCUUACCAGAAAGGGACGGCUAACUACGUG